rnacentral:tRNA from 1 species
AGGGCAGUAGCUCCAAUGGUAGAGCGGCGGUUUCCAAAACCGCAUGUUGGGGGUUCGAAUCCCUCCUGCCCUG